UACGUAGGUGGCAAGCGUUGUUCGGAAUUAUUGGGCGUAAAGGGCGCGUAGGCGGUUUGGUAAGUCAGCUGUGAAAGCCCGGGGCUCAACCCCGGAGGGUCGGCUGAUACUGCUAGGCUAGAGUACGGAAGAGGUAGCUGGAAUUCCCGGUGUAGCGGUGAAAUGCGUAGAUAUCGAGAGGAACACCUGCGGCGAAGGCGGGUUGCUGGGCUGAUACUGACGCUGAGGCGCGAAAGCUAGGGGAGCGAACGGG
rnacentral:rRNA from 1 species